GCAAAACGCGAAGAACCUUACCUACCCUUGACAUGUCUGGAAUCCCGAAGAGAUUUGGGAGUGCUCGCAAGAGAACCGGAACACAGGUGCUGCAUGGCUGUCGUCAGCUCGUGUCGUGAGAUGUUGGGUUAAGUCCCGCAACGAGCGCAACCCUUGUCAUUAGUUGCUACGAAAGGGCACUCUAAUGAGACUGCCGGUGACAAACCGGAGGAAGGUGGGGAUGACGUCAAGUCCUCAUGGCCCUUAUGGGUAGGCUUCACACGUCAUACAAUGGUCGGGACAGAGGGUCGCCAACCCGCGAGGGGAGCCAAUCCCACGAAACCCGAUCGUAGUCCGGAUCGUAGUCUGCAACUCGACUGCGUGAAGUCGGAAUCGCUAGUAAUCGCGGAUCAGCAUGUCGCGGUGAAUACGUU
rnacentral:rRNA from 1 species